UACGUAGGGACCAAGCGUUGUUCGGAUUUACUGGGCGUAAAGGGCGCGUAGGCGGCAAUUCAAGUCAUCUGUGAAAUCUCCGGGCUUAACUCGGAACGGUCAGAUGAUACUGCUUUGCUAGAGUGCGGAAGGGGCAAUCGGAAUUCUUGGCGUAGCGGUGAAAUGCGUAGAUAUCAAGAGGAACACCUGAGGUGAAGACGGGUUGCUGGGCCGACACUGACGCUGAGUGCGCGAAAGCCAGGGGAGCAAACGGG
rnacentral:rRNA from 1 species